GACGAACGCUGGCGGCGUGCCUAAUACAUGCAAGUAGAACGCUGAAGAGAGGAGCUUGCUCUUCUUGGAUGAGUUGCGAACGGGUGAGUAACGCGUAGGUAACCUGCCUUGUAGCGGGGGAUAACUAUUGGAAACGAUAGCUAAUACCGCAUAACAAUGGAUGACACAUGUCAUUUAUUUGAAAGGGGCAAUUGCUCCACUACAAGAUGGACCUGCGUUGUAUUAGCUAGUAGGUGAGGUAAUGGCUCACCUAGGCGACGAUACAUAGCCGACCUGAGAGGGUGAUCGGCCACACUGGGACUGAGACACGGCCCAGACUCCUACGGGAGGCAGCAGUAGGGAAUCUUCGGCAAUGGGGGCAACCCUGACCGAGCAACGCCGCGGGAGUGAAGAAGGUUUUCGGAUCGUAAAGCUCUGUUGUAAGUCAAGAACGGGUGUGGGAGUGGAAAGUUCACACUGUGACGGUAGCUUACCAGGAAGGGACGGCUAACUACGUG
rnacentral:rRNA from 1 species